GACGAACGCUGGCGGCGUGCUUAACACAUGCAAGUCGAACGGAAAGGCCCUGCUUUUGUGGGGUGCUCGAGUGGCGAACGGGUGAGUAACACGUGAGUAACCUGCCCUUGACUUUUGGAUAACUUCAGGAAACUGGGGCUAAUACCGGAUAGGAGCUCCUGCUGCAUGGUGGGGGUUGGAAAGUUUCGGCGGUUGGGGAUGGACUCGCGGCUUAUCAGCUUGUUGGUGGGGUAGUGGCUUACCAAGGCUUUGACGGGUAGCCGGCCUGAGAGGGUGACCGGCCACAUUGGGACUGAGAUACGGCCCAGACUCCUACGGGAGGCAGCAGUGGGGAAUAUUGCACAAUGGGCGGAAGCCUGAUGCAGCAACGCCGCGUGCGGGAUGACGGCCUUCGGGUUGUAAACCGCUUUCGCCUGUGACGAAGCGUGAGUGACGGUAAUGGGUAAAGAAGCACCGGCUAACUACGUG
rnacentral:rRNA from 1 species